GCUUCGGUAGCGAAGUUGGUUAACGCGCCUUCCCGGUAAGAAGGAGGCCCAGGUUCGACUCCUGGCCAAGGCA
rnacentral:tRNA from 1 species